rnacentral:tRNA from 1 species
GCCCGCUUGGCGGAAUCGGUAGACGCAUCGGACUUAAAAUCCGAAGCCCGCAAGGGCGUGCCGGUUCAAGUCCGGCAGCGGGCACCA